UUCUUCCACCACGUCGCCGCCCACUCCGGGCGCUGCCUGGGCCUCCUCCCUCCGCGUGGCGGAGCCGGCGUCGCCGCUGCCAGCACACUUGCGGGGCCUCGGAGGUGCUAGGGGCUGUGCCCUGCUGGACACCAGGACAGAGUCAUCUGCGGAAAAGAGCCUUGGCCUGGGAGUCUGGAGACCUGGCUUCCAGCCCUUGACCUCUGAGCCCUUGUUUGCUAGCGCUGACUCCAGGUGUGAUUCGAAGAGCGUCUUGGAUUGAAUCAGGCCACUGCCCUGGUCUGCAGGAAGAAUGAAGACAGAUAGAAGGCUUUCCAGGAACUGCAGUAGACAAGGAGCUUUCAGUUUGGCUUUGUGUAAAUCAAAAUCAUGAUGAGUCAACAUCAAGUUUAACCCUUAGAGUCCUGAUGACUUGGGUGCGAGACUACCAGUGGCCUUUCUUUCACUUUGGCCCGGGGUGGCUGGAGUUCUGCGCUGCCCUGUGUACCUAGGCCACUCCACUCAACUGUUUUGACCUUUGCCCUUCUCACUAAGUCUUCGUCCAUUUCUGUAACUGGAGGCUGAAAAGGGCAUAUGCAAGAAAAUGUCUGGCAGGAAAGAAUGAUGUCCCUCUUUCCAAAGUCAGGUGUCCUUCCAUCCAUUUAGAGACACCUUCCUGAGUCCAAAAGGGACACAGACACCAGCAUAUUCCAAGGGCUUAGCUAAAAGUGCUGGUCCCUUAGACAAAAAUCUCACAAAGAGUCCUCUAAGCAAAACCUCACACCACUGCAAAACAAAGAAAAAGGAGAAGUUGAAAACAGGGAAUUUCCCUCCCGAUUCUGGAUCAGUGGCCCCCAACCAGGGGCAAUUUUACAUCCCAGGGGACAUUCGGCAAUAUGGAGAGAUAUUUUUGGUUGUCAUGACUGAAGCGGGGGCAUGCUUCUGGAAUGCAGUGAGUAGAGGCUGGGGAUGCUGCUGUUAAUACAAUGCACACGACCGCCCCCACAACAAAGACUUACUCUACUCAAGAUGACAACAGCGCCAAAGGUGAGAGAGAUCCUAAGCUAGAAUACUCUUUGUUGUCUUUUGUAUUUGGUCCCCACCCACCCACUGUCCCCCAUGCCUGGCCAAAAUUAGAGAUGAAUGCUAAAAGUAUGUACUCUUGACAACUCCCUUUCCUGUAUCUCGUACCCCCAGUUCCCCAUCCACUGUCUAGUCCUGCAGUCACUGAUUAGAUGGUAAAACAUCUCUCAGAUCUAUUCCUCCCCCGACCACCCAGUUUCGCCUCUAUGGUUCUAUUUCAGGACUUUAUUACCAUUCCAGAAACAGUCUUCAAACUGGCCAUGAGGGUCUACCCUUUACAAGACAGAUCUUCCCAAUGAGCAAUCUGUCCAUGUCACUCCUCAGCUUAAGCUUAAGUGACACCCCUCCCUUCAUCAAAUGCCACAAAAGGCAGUCUCAACUCCUCUGCCUGCAGGCUUGCCUCUUCAGGUUAGAUUCCCC
rnacentral:lncRNA from 1 species